rnacentral:lncRNA from 10 species
GAGUCGCUGCGAGCCGGCCUCAGGCAGGCCGCGGCCUCCUGGCGCGGGGCUGACCGCUGAGCAGAGCUGAGCCGACUCAGGGGAGGGAGCAUGUGGCUGCGACUGCGGUGACAGGGCCGUGGCCCGCUGUGGAGGCGCAAGACAGAGCGUGAGACGUAGGAAAUGCACAUUUGAAAUUCAAGAGUGCCUGGCACGCUUUGCACUGAGGCGCACGGGGAGGCCCGGGAACCGAGCGAGCGGCAGUUUCGCGGGACACCGCUGGGCCCCGCCUCCCCUCCCUUCCCUCCCCUCCCCUUCCCUCCUCUCCCUCCACUCCCCUCCCCUCCGUCCCCUCCCCUCGACCACCCCGUCCCCUGCCCUCCCCUUCUCUCGACCAGCCCGUCCCCUGCCCUCCCCUCCCCUCCCCUCGACCAGCCCGUCCCCUCCCCUCCUCUUCCCUCGGCCAGCCCCUCCCCUCGGCCAGCCCUUCCCCUCGACCAACCCCUCUCCUCGACCGGCCCCUCCCCUCGACCGGCCCCUCCCCUUGGCCGGGCCCUCCCCUUGACCGGCCCCUCCCCUCGACCGGCCCCUCCCCUCGGCCGGCCCCUUCCCUCGGCCAGCCCCUCCCCUCGACCAGCCCCUCCCCUCGACCAGCCCCUCC